rnacentral:lncRNA from 1 species
GAAUUGACAGUUCCAUAAAAUGGGUUAAAAUUCAUUUCCCCCAAAUUUUUAAAUGGAAAGCCUCAGAAUAUUAUGUGAAAAGGUCUGCAGGGGGAUAUGCUUAGUUAAAACAUGCUUUUAAAAAUUAGAUGAUUUUUUUAAAAUAACAUUUUGCCACUAAGCAAAUAUCUCAGCUAUAAGGAAUUUAGAAUUACCCAUGUAUUUCAAAAGGACUAAAAUCCAUGUUAGAAAAUAAACAUCUGUCAAAGUCACUAUCAUUUUUUCUAAAUUAGGACUUCAAAGCAAGGUCUUUUCAUAUUUCUCUCAAAUUUAAUCUGAAAAAUAUUGACAUCUCCAUAUAGCAUAGAUCAGAGGCUAAAAUUACAUUUGUAAAUAUGGUAAAUCCUAGUUAAGAAACAGAGUGUGCUGUGCUCCACUUAACACUUCUCCAAGGUAUUAAAAUGUGUCUGUACCUUCAGUUUCAAAACUGUGCCAAAUGGUUAACCGUGUCUACGGACACUCGUGUGGACAAGACACAUCCUAAGAGAACCUCCUGCUCCCUUCACCAGGUGCCCACUUUCUACAACUCUUCCAUGACACCAAGACUCAACACAGUCUAAUGACACCUAGGAAACAGUGAUAACCAACACAUGAUGUCUUCAGCUGCACAUGGGGAUAAUCAAUGCUGAACAAUGGGCUAAGGGAACAACAGAUUAAGCUUCUCUUUUAUUAACUUGGAAUUUUUUAAAUGUUCAGGAUGAUUUGAGAACAAUCAACAAAUGACAGUUAUG